CGUAGGGUGCAAGCGUUAAUCGGAAUUACUGGGCGUAAAGCGUGCGCAGGCGGCUUUGCAAGACAGAUGUGAAAUCCCCGGGCUUAACCUGGGAACUGCAUUUGUGACUGCAAGGCUAGAGUACGGUAGAGGGGGAUGGAAUUCCGCGUGUAGCAGUGAAAUGCGUAGAUAUGCGGAGGAACACCGAUGGCGAAGGCAAUCCCCUGGACCUGUACUGACGCUUAUGCACGAAAGCGUGGGGAGCAAACAGGAUUAGAUACCCUGGUAGUCCACGCCCUAAACGAUGUCAACUGGUUGUUGGACGGCUUGCUGUUCAGUAACGAAGCUAACGCGUGAAGUUGACCGCCUGGGGAGUACGGCCGCAAGGUUG
rnacentral:rRNA from 1 species